GGCAUUUCGCUGAGAUGCUUCAGCUCCUGCUCACUCUCAGCCACUGUGCUGUGUCUCUGCCACCAUGACACGGAACAGCUUUCACCAAAAAAGGAAGAAUCAACACUUUCAGAGAUGGAGCCUGUUGAGCCACAGUACCAACUAGUCAAUGCUGAAUCGACUUCUCCCUUUCUACAUUGCCUGAGAGAAGUCAUUGGGGAAUACUCUAGAGUCAAGGGAUUGGAUUGUGGAUUGCAUUGGUGGUUUUCCUCAGUUUCCUCAUCUUCUCCACAAGUUUCUACAUAUCGAAUGCAGAGCAGCCCUUCUUCAAAGGACCUCCUACGGAAGCUGCUAAGGAACUCAGUCUGUAGCUCUGCGUGGAGCCAUGUGUAAACACUGAACUGAGACCUGCCACCUCCUACUACCUAAGGGCCCAUUUUCAUCUGAUAUCAUCCCCCAGAAACAAACUCAUGAUGACUUCCAUGUUUUUUUUAGAUUAGAUACAUGGAGAAUUUUCCUUUCCCUUAGAAUUAAAAUCCUGCAUUCUAA
ensembl:lncRNA LINC00943 long intergenic non-protein coding RNA 943